CACUCGGUAGCACAUGGUGUGCACCUGCUUCACCUGAUUGAUCCAUCACGGUAGGUGCAGGAGGUCUCGGUUCGAUUCCGGGUCGAGUGA